AAAGAAACGAAUAUCUAACACUCCGCGAAAAGGAAGGAUCGAGAAAUUAAAGUUGAAUUCCGGUCGGUAAGGAAGGAAGGAAGGAAGGAAGGAAGGAUAGAAAAGGCGGGAUGCUUUCGUAGCAGCAGCUUUGCGUCCCGAGGUAUGAAGCUUGUUACGCGAGAUUCCUCGUGGUCAGGCGGAGUAAUACUCGGUAGUUAUGGGGGCGCUGGAAAAUGCUGGAAAAUUGUUACGAGCCAACCAUCGAGAAUGAUGAUCGUGACAAGAAAAUUUGAUCGAUUUGAGCAGAUUCUCAUCCA